AUUUGUCGUUAGGCAAUGUGGUGUUUAGGUCGGCUCGUGGGACUGCCACUCCAUUCGAAGUCCAGCAUUGAGUAUGGUACCCUGGAUUUGGCCCAGAGAGGGUGAAAGGCCCGUGCGAAUGGAUGUUUCAGACAUGAAAGGCAGUUCAUCAGGUCGACCUUCGAGUCGGGUUGUUUGAGAAUGCAGCCCUAAGUGGGUGGUAAACUCCAUCCAAGGCUAAAUACUAGCACGAGUCCGAUAGCGAACAAGUACCGUGAGGGAAAGUUGAAAAGUACUCUGAAGAGAGAGUAAACAGUACGUGAAACCGUAUAGAGGUAAACGGGUGGCGUCAAGCUGCAAGCCCAGAGGAUUCAG
rnacentral:rRNA from 1 species